rnacentral:rRNA from 1 species
CGUAGGGAGCGAGCGUUGUCCGGAAUUACUGGGUGUAAAGGGAGCGUAGGCGGGAUGGCAAGUCAGAUGUGAAAACUAUGGGCUCAACCCAUAGACUGCAUUUGAAACUGUUGUUCUUGAGUGAGGUAGAGGUAAGCGGAAUUCCUGGUGUAGCGGUGAAAUGCGUAGAGAUCAGGAGGAACAUCGGUGGCGAAGGCGGCUUACUGGGCCUUUACUGACGCUGAGGCUCGAAAGCGUGGGGAGCAA